GUUCAAUUCCCAGACCAUGUGGCAGGUUGUGUUCUUCAGCAAAACACUUCAUUUCACAUUGCUCCACUCUCCCUUUUGAUCAGGGGGGAAUGUUGACCUGCUUGCCUAGUCAGUGGGGUGGUGUCCUUUGAAG